CAGGGAAAUAACCCAAGACAGCAAAGUGGCUCUUUUGGCGCAUUUACUAAGAGGACUAACAUGGCCACAAAUUCAUGAGAUCAUGCAGGAGCCGUACAGUAUAACAGCAGUACAAGUUCUAUAAAAGAUCCACGACCUACUGAAGCCCAGCUAAUUAACAAAAAAGUUUUUAAAAACUGUAAUUUUAUCCCACCUGGGUACUUAUAAUUGACUAAGCUGCCUACACAAGUUUUAGACUUGCAAUUAUAUUUUAAACUGUCACUUGGAAAGUAUUUUAAUGAAAUUGAGCACCAAAAUUGCAUUAAAGUGAAAGUAGCUGAGAAAAAUAGUAUCCUUGUGCUCAUGGGCAGCUACAUAUAUUGUGACAAACAUGAAUUAGCUAAAAUAACUUAAAUUUUUCAUUUUGUUUCUUGUAUAUCGUUUGUACAGGGUUCGUGAAUUGUUACUGUAUAUUACUUGACUUGCUUGUAUUUUGUUACUUUGAAUACAUGUUGUGAAGGUUGCAUUAUACUUUUUAACUUUUAAAGUAGCGCCUGUUCUGUUAUGUAAGGGCCUGAUUUAUGAUAAUGGACAUAGAGGCUUUGUAAGCAUGUAUUAAACAACACUUGUUUGAUCUGAAUAAUUUGUUAAAUAAAUGUAACACAAUU